GCCGAAGUGGCGGAACUGGCAGACGCACACGACUCAAAAUCGUGCGGGGAAACUCAUGAGGGUUCGACUCCCUCCUUCGGCA
rnacentral:tRNA from 1 species